rnacentral:rRNA from 1 species
CCCUUAGAUGUUCUGGGCCGCACGCGCGCUACACUGAUGCAUUCAACGAGCCUAGCCUUGACCGAGAGGUCCGGGUAAUCUUUGAAACUACAUCGUGAUGGGGCUAGAUUAUUGCAAUUAUUAAUCUUCAACGAGGAAUGCCUAGUAAGCGUGAUUCAUCAAAUCGCGUUGAUUACGUCCCUGCCCUUUGUACACACCGCCCGUCGCUCCUACCGAUUGAGUGUGUUGGUGAGGAGUUUGGAUUGGCCUCGGAAGGUGGUUCGCCACCGUCCGUAGCUGAGAAGUUCUCCAAACCGCCCCACUUAGAGGAAGGAGAAGUCGUAACA